UACGUAGGGUGCGAGCGUUAAUCGGAAUUACUGGGCGUAAAGCGUGCGCAGGCGGUUCGUUGUGUCUGUCGUGAAAGCCCCGGGCUUAACCUGGGAAUGGCGAUGGAAACUGGCGAGCUUGAGUGUGGCAGAGGGAUGCGGAAUUCCAGGUGUAGCGGUGAAAUGCGUAGAUAUCUGGAGGAACACCGGUGGCGAAGGCGGCAUCCUGGACCAAUUCUGACACUGAGGAGCGAAAGCCAGGGGAGCAAACGGG
rnacentral:rRNA from 1 species